rnacentral:lncRNA from 13 species
AAGAUACACGGUACUGGCAUCUGCUCAGGAAACUUACCAUCAUGGUGGAAGUUGAAGAGGCAGUACACAUGUCACACGGUGAGAGCAGGAGUAAAAGAAAGAUAAGGGAGAGGUACCAGACUGUUUUAAACAGAACUGAGCGACACCUCACUUAUCACCAAGGAGAUGGUGUUAAACCCUUCAUGAGGUAUUCGUUCCAAUGGUUCACUCACCUCCCACCAAACCCCACCACCAACACUGGGAACAUGUGAAAAGAGAUUUUGAGGAGAUGAAGAUCCAAACCAUAUUACCUGUGUUCUUCAAACAGAUUCAUUUUGUGCUAAAGUGAGUUGGAGCCUACUGGACAUUUCUAAGAAAUUCUGGGACUUGUUGAUGGUCACUAAGAGAAGCCAACAUUUCAAAUAAUUCAGACUAUCAUGAACAGGGCCCACUGCUCUCCUGUCUCUACAGGUGGCCAUGAGGCAUAUGCAGGACCCAGGUCCUCCGACAAUGCAGUGCUUUCUGUACCAUCUGCUGGCUCUGCAAAGGUAAUUAACAAAUGCAUACUAUUCCCAGAUGAGGCUGGCUUAGAAAGGACAAACCACGCCAGGAAAACGGAGAGGAACAAAGUAAAAUCAUGGCAGACAAACAAGGCUGCUGCAGUCCUGGCUGUCAGUGGAGUGUGUUGUUAGAGCUUCUUGUUGAAUUAUAACAUCUAAAAAUGAAUUCAAACAGAUUCAACCAAGGACAUAGAAUUUCACCCCUGCUGGGAGCCUUAAAGAAAGGGUGAAGAAAAUUGUAGGGUGCUGAGUAUUUUCUGACUCCCAGAUCUUAUAUGCUGUAUUUAUAGUAAUUUUUAAAAAAGGAGAAAUAAAAACUAAUGCCAAUGAAAGCUCA